AUUGAACGCUGGCGGCAUGCUUUACACAUGCAAGUCGAACGGCAGCACGGGUGCUUGCACCUGGUGGCGAGUGGCGAACGGGUGAGUAAUGCAUCGGAACGUGCCCAUGAGUGGGGGAUAGCCCGGCGAAAGCCGGAUUAAUACCGCAUACGCCCUUAGGGGAAAGCGGGGGAUCUUCGGACCUCGCGCCAUUGGAGCGGCCGAUGUCGGAUUAGCUAGUAGGUGAGGUAAAGGCUCACCUAGGCGACGAUCCGUAGCUGGUCUGAGAGGAUGAUCAGCCACACUGGGACUGAGACACGGCCCAGACUCCUACGGGAGGCAGCAGUGGGGAAUUUUGGACAAUGGGCGCAAGCCUGAUCCAGCCAUGCCGCGUGAGUGAAGAAGGCCUCGGUUGUAAG
rnacentral:rRNA from 1 species